rnacentral:rRNA from 1 species
AUGAAAAACGAAACGUACUCUAUCGUGUCCUGGAAUGUUCACGGGUUAGGAUAUAAUGACAAGUGUGCCAAUGUGUUCUCUGAAAUCAGUCACUUGCGCCCAUCAAUCGCUCUGCUCCAAGAAACCAAACUGCAAAAACCAGAUACAAUCAAACUAAGAUCAAUCUUGCCACGCUUCUCAGACUCUAACAACCACCUCGACGCAAUCGGAUCUGCGGGUGGAAUUCUCUCGGCUACUAACUCACGCUGCUUUUCGCUCCUCAAUUGUCAACACAGCCGUUUUACAUCUACCUUAACUCUCUCAUGCCUUGCCUCGCCACACAACAUCUUUAUCACUAACGUCUACGCCCCCUCGCAAUGAGACCUAAAGCUAGAAUUCCUCGACGAACUAAAACAGAUCGAACCUCCAAAUCAAUCCCCCUGGCUCCUCAUCGGAGACUUCAACCUUACUCGAUUCCCUUACGAGAGAAACAACAAUAAUUUCAGACGAUCGGAGGCCGGCGCCUUCAAUGACACCAUUGAUCAACUUGCUCUCCUUGAGCUCCCACUUCUUGAUAGACAAUUUACUUGGUCAAAUAAAAGAUUGUCACCUGCGCUAAUACGUCUAGAUAGGGUACUUAUCAACCUAUCUUGGGAUGCUCUUUUCCCCAACUCGCACCUAACCUCUCUUACUAGAUUCGUUUCUGAUCACGUUCCACUCCUAGUCAUAUAUCCACGUCCGUCCCUUCUUCCCGCCUUUUUAGAUUUGAACGCUUCUGGACUUCAUUCCAAGCCUGUAGCAACAUUGUGCGAGCCUGCUGGCGGCCCAAUUCACAAAACCACAACAGGCCUCCCGCAGAUCCAGCCGCUUCUCUCGCCCAAAACAUCAAAAAAAUAUGAUCGGCCCUAA